CCCUUAGAUGUUCUGGGCCGCACGCGCGCUACACUGAUGCAUUCAACGAGCCUAUCCUUGACCGACAGGUCCGGGUAAUCUUUGAAUCUGCAUCGUGACGGGGAUAGAUUAUUGCAAUUAUUAAUCUUCAACGAGGAAUGCCUAGUAGGCGCAAGUCAUCAGCUUGCGUCGAUUACGUCCCUGCCCUUUGUACACACCGCCCGUCGCUCCUACCGAUUGGGUGUGCUGGUGAAAUGUUCGGAUCGGCCGUUUGUCGCGGUUUCCGCGUCAUGUGGCUGAGAAGUUCAUUAAACCCUCCACCUAGAGGAAGGAGAAGUCGUAACA
rnacentral:rRNA from 1 species